rnacentral:rRNA from 1 species
GACGAACGCUGGCGGCGUGCCUAAUACAUGCAAGUAGAACGCUGAAGCGAGGAGCUUGCUCUUCUUGGAUGAGUUGCGAACGGGUGAGUAACGCGUAGGUAACCUGCCUUGUAGCGGGGGAUAACUAUUGGAAACGAUAGCUAAUACCGCAUAACAAUGGAUGACACAUGUCAUUUAUUUGAAAGGGGCAAUUGCUCCACUACAAGAUGGACCUGCGUUGUAUUAGCUAGUAGGUGAGGUAAUGGCUCACCUAGGCGACGAUACAUAGCCGACCUGAGAGGGUGAUCGGCCACACUGGGACUGAGACACGGCCCAGACUCCUACGGGAGGCAGCAGUAGGGAAUCUUCGGCAAUGGGGGCAACCCUGACCGAGCAACGCCGCGUGAGUGAAGAAGGUCUUCGGAUCGUAAAGCUCUGUUGUAAGUCAAGAACGGGUGUGAGAGUGGAAAGUUCACACUGUGACGGUAGCUUACCAGAAAGGGACGGCUAACUACGUG